rnacentral:rRNA from 1 species
GAUGAACGCUGGCGGCGUGCUUAACACAUGCAAGUCGAGCGGAGCGGCGAACGGGUGAGUAACUCGUUAGUACCUGCCCCCCUCUCUGGGAUAACAGUUGGAAACGGCUGCUAAUACCGGAUAGUGGGGGCUGACUCGCGCCCUAUCAGCUUGUGGGUGGGGUAGGGGCCUACCAAGGCGACGACGGGUAGCCGGACUGGGCGGGCGACCGGCCACAUUGGGCUGAGAUACGGCCCAGAGUCGUACGGGAGGAAGCAGUGGGGAAUAUUGCACAAUGGGGGAAACCAGGAUGCAGCAACGCCGGGUGCGGGAUGACGGCCUUCGGGGUGUAAACCGCUUUCAGCCAUGACGCGGUAGUGGCAGAAGAAGCACCGGCUAACUACGUGCCAGCAGCCGCGGUAAUAC